ACUCACACUGAUAUUUUGUAAAAUAGCACAAAGGCCUGUGUCCCUUAUAGCAGUGUAUUUGGGAUCCUUUGAUCCCAGUUCUAAAAAGACUAGGAUUUGGUACUUCACUAACUUCAACUUUACUACAGCCGGGCCUUAAAUUUAUCCUACUACUGAACCAUAGUUGCAGAGGAAUGUGCAAGGCUUUCAUAUGCUGGAUUGCAGAUGUGAACAUUAACUCCAGGGGUCAUUUGCGUUUGUGGGCCAAACCAGAAGGCUGGAGUCUGUUCUUACAAGGAAUCAUUGAAUCAGUCUUAAACUGCAGUUUUACUCUCUAAUACAAAUUACUAACACUGGGUUUAAUUGUUUCAUUUUAUAGUAACCCAAAGCAUCCAACCAUAGAUUUGGUGUUUAGUAAUCUGCCUGUGGCAGACUGAUCAAAGCUAAUUACUAAUUGGUUGCUAUGGGCUAUUGCAAUUUUGCUCAGUGUUAGUAAAAAACAUCUCCACUUUGCGCUAGACGUAAAAAUGAAUAAAGAGGGCAAAUGUAACAAACCAAAUAUUAAUUUCUCUUGAAUUUGUAAUCUUAAAAUAUGGUUAUUUACUCCAAAUUCCAGGGGUACAAAUCCAUUUGCCUUCUAUUUAUAAAUGCAUCAUAUUGAUCCUAAUAUACAUAGAGACUAUCUGAGCACAGCACAUAAAUACAUGUGCAAAAUAUACUGUAUGCAUUCGACAAACACCUUCAUAGGAUCCAAUGCAAACUAAAAUCAAUGUCCAAUACAUAUAGAUUUUGCAAGAAACCACAAAAUCCAGUACAAUAUAAUUACAUCAGGUAUUUUCUUUUCAGAUCCUUUUAUGUAUAUGUGCUGCUCAAAGGCAUCUCAGCAUGGUUUUAAAAAUGUCAUUAUAUGAUUCACUAGAGUGUGGUUUUUGGUCCAAACACAUUUCAAUGGUCAAACCACACUUGUUUCAGGCCUUUUUUUUCACCUGAUUUCAUUGUUGUGUAUGUAGCCAGAAUUAUUGCCAGCGUCCUUCUUCUACUGGUGACUGGACAAUGUGAUCACUUAAUUGUUAUGGCCACAAAAGACUUGUCUCUGUAACUAAGGUUAUUGUUUGUACAGUUACACAUUUAUUGCAGCUCAACAAUUAGAGGAACCAUUUGGGAAACAGAGAUAGUGCUAGGUUAUUAAAACCAACUAAUAAAUCCCUGUUCAUUCAUGGGAGGUGCAGUCUGCAAUCUAAGCAGUCAGAUGGGUUCCUUGGCACUCAUGCUACAGUAUAGACAAGGUUCUCUUGAAUAAUGUUCUGCCUGGAACACUACUACUAGCAAGCGACUGUAUAGCCAUCACAUCUAAAUAAGGACUUGCAAGAGAAAGUCAGCAGUCUCAACAAAACAGAAGAGGAUAAACACAAAAAGGUAAAUACAAUGGAGAAUGACAAUCAAAAUCCAUAAGAGGAUAAUCAAGUGCCAUAUCCAAUGAUUUGCGUCCAUGACUUCUCCACCUAAAGCCACACAGAUCCACAUAGACUUUGACUUCAUAGUAUAUAAUUAAGAGCAUUAAAAGGUAAACGUGACAUGCAGAAGUAGGUGAAGUAGGUGGAAGUAGGUGAUUAAAUGCAUCAAAAUGGCAUCACCAAAUAAUUUUUCAGCAAAUAAAGAAUGAACUGAUGUGAUACAUGCCAAAGUAACUUCUUCAACAUGAGCAAAGGAUCACAGGACAACAUUGCACUGACCGCGAUUCUGCAGAGGACAAAGAAUGUUUUAGGUUUCAUCCUUGUCAUUUACACAGCUUUAUUGGGAGUUCUACUCUGCUCUGAGCUCAUAUUAACAUUGCUGCUGGCUGAAUCAAUGGGCUGAGUCGAAAAAAAUACAUUGUCUUAUUCACGCUGGACAGCUCUCCUGAAAUAAAAUAAUAUCUGAUAUAAGAUCACUGUGCUGGCUGUUUUCCCUUUCAGUAUAAUCAUAAGGAUACAAAGCAACUGCAAUAUAACAAAGAGGCAUUCAAUUGUGAACUGUAAAAGGGAAGGUUUGUUUAGCAUCUACAACAGUCAUUUUUAUUAUAUUGAUUGUACUUUGGUGGACCAUCCCUUGGGGAGAGAAAGAAAAUUUUUUUAGAAAAAAAGCCUGUAGUUCAAUCCAUAGGGAGUAUUAUUAUCAUUGAAUAAUGUUAAAACACCAACAUAUUCCACAGCAAUGAACGAUAAGUGGGUGUAUAGACUGAGCAUACAGAGCACAUACAAAACUAAAGUGAUAGAAGAGUGGGAAAGAAGGCAGUGCCCAAAAGAGCGUACACACAGGUUAAUUGACUCCUGUUGAAAAUAAUCCUAGAAUACAUGCGUGAAUGGAAGGGACCAUAGACUUUAAUCUUAGCUAGGGAAGGGAAAGAUGUGCGUAUUGAAAUAUCUGUCAUAACAUGUCAGCGCUAUAUAGAUAAAGGACAAUUAUGUAGUAGCAAUAGCAAAGUCCUAUCCAAAAAUCCAUUGCAGGUUAUAGGUAGUUUUACUGCUCUCUUGUUGUUACAAUAUGAAAAGCCAACGUCUGAUUAUUUGCUCUGGGUUACUGGACCAGGACAAUUAUUACCCAUUGUUCUUCAUCAAAUACAGUAAGAGAACAACUAUUGCAGCUGCCUCAGUCAUAAUGAUGAAUUGACGGUCUGUGAAUGAUGUAGUGCCAUAGUUUUAGCCUUUCCCUAUUUUCCAGCAGAUGUAAAUGUAAGAGCUGUCCAAAUGCUUACCCUUUAGGGCAAUGGCAAAUGAGGAGACUGGUCAUCCUGAGCGAGCGACUAAUCUCCUCCAAACGCUCCCCCAGCGGCUAACAUGCUAAAGAAGAUUAAUGGGGUGGUUCUCCUUUAAGUUAACCUUUAGUAUGUUCUAGUAAAGCCAAUUCUAAGUAACUUUUCAAAUGGGCUUUAUUGUUUAUUUUUUUAUAGUUUUUCAAU